rnacentral:rRNA from 1 species
UUAGAAUAGAAUUUGAGGUUUGACCUGCCCACUGAUUUAUUAAAUGGCCGCAGUAAUUUGACUGUGCAAAGGUAGCAUAAUCAUUAGUUUUUUAAUUAAAAGCUUGUAUGAAUGGUUGGACGAAAUAAAUACUGUCUUUAGAUAAUAAAUAGAAUUUAAUUUUUAAGUUAAAAAGCUUAAAUAAUUAUAAAAGACGAGAAGACCCUAUAGAUCUUUAUAAUAUUUAGUAUAUAUUUAAUUAAGAUUAUUUUAUUAUUUAUAUAAAAUAUUAUUUUAUUGGGGUAAUAAAAAGAUUUAAUUAAUUCUUUAAAUUUUGUAUAUAGAUUAAUAGAUUUUUGAUCCUUUAUUAGAGAUUUUAAGAUUAAGUUACCUUAGGGAUAACAGCGUAAUUUUUUUGAAGAGUUCAUAUCGAUAAAAAAGUUUGCGACCUCGAUGUUGGAUUAAAAAUUAUUCUAGGUGUAGUAUUUUAGAAUUUUGGUCUGUUCGACCAUUAAAUUUUUACAUGAUCUGAGUUUAGACCGGUGUGAGCCAGGUCGGUUUCUAUCUUUAUUAGAUUAAUAUAUUUUAGUACGAAAGGACCAAAUAUAAAAUAUAUAUGAUAUUUUUAUUUUUGAAUUAUAU